rnacentral:miRNA from 1 species
UGGCUCAGGGACUACUCUGUGC